CCAGUCAGACACCUAGAGGGGAAACAUCCUUGUCAGGUGUUGGCUAUAACAGGGGCUAUAACAGGGGUGAUACAGUUUCUGGUCAGGUGUUGGGCUAUAACAGGGGCUAUAACACGGGUGAUACAGUUUCUGGUCAGGUGUUGGGCUAUAACAGGGGCUAUAACACGGGUGAUACAGUUUAUCUGGUCAGGUGCUGGGCUGUAACAGGGGCUAUAACACGGGUGAUACAGUAUAUCUGGUCAGGUGCUGGGCUGUAACAGGGGCUAUAACAGGGGUGAUACAGUUUAUCUGGUCAGGUGUUGGGCUAUAACAGGGGCUUUAACAGGGGUGAUACAGUAUAUCUGGUCAGGUGCUGGGCUAUAACAGGGGCUAUAACAGGGGUGAUACAGUUUAUCUGGUCAGGUGUUGGGCUAUAACAGGGGUGAUACAGUUUAUCUGGUCAGGUGUUGGGCUAUAACAGGGGCUAUAACAGGGGUGAUACAGUAUAUCUGGUCAGGUGUUGGGCUAUAACAGGGGUGAUACAGUUUAUCUGGUCAGGUGCUGGGCUAUAACAGGGGCUAUAACAGGGGCUAUAACAGGGGUGAUAUAGUAUAUCUGGUCAGGUGUUGGCUAUAACAGGGGUGAUACAGUUUAUCUGGUCAGGAGUUGGGCUAUAACGAGGGUGAUAUAUGGUUAGGAGUUGGGCUAUAAACGAGGGUGAUAUAUCUGGUUAGGAGUUGGGCUAUAACGAGGGUGAUAUAUCUGGUUAGGAGUUGGGCUAUAAUGAGGGUGAUAUAUGGUUAGGAGUUGGGCUAUACCGGGGGUGAUAUAUAUGGUUAGGAGUUGGGCUAUACUGAGGG
rnacentral:lncRNA from 1 species